rnacentral:rRNA from 1 species
AACGAACGCUGGCGGCAGGCCUAACACAUGCAAGUCGAACGAGAAGCCACCUUCGGGUGGUGGAUAGUGGCAGACGGGUGAGUAACGCGUGGGAACGUGCCUUUCGGUUCGGGAUAACCCAGGGAAACUUGGGCUAAUACCGGAUACGCCCUUCGGGGAAAGAUUCAUUGCCGAAAGAUCGGCCCGCGUCGGAUUAGCUAGUUGGUGGGGUAAAAGCCUACCAAGGCGACGAUUGGUAGCCGAACUGAGAGGUUGAUCGGCCACAUUGGGACUGAGACACGGCCCAGACACCUACGGGUGGCUG